rnacentral:rRNA from 1 species
UACGGAGGAUCCGAGCGUUAUCCGGAUUUAUUGGGUUUAAAGGGAGCGUAGAUGGAUGUUUAAGUCAGUUGUGAAAGUUUGCGGCUCAACCGUAAAAUUGCAGUUGAUACUGGAUAUCUUGAGUGCAGUUGAGGCAGGCGGAAUUCGUGGUGUAGCGGUGAAAUGCUUAGAUAUCACGAAGAACUCCGAUUGCGAAGGCAGCCUGCUAAGCUGCAACUGACAUUGAGGCUCGAAAGUGUGGGUAUCAAACAGGAUUAGAUACCCUGGUAGUCCACACGGUAAACGAUGAAUACUCGCUGUUUGCGAUAUACGGCAAGCGGCCAAGCGAAAGCGUUAAGUAUUCCACCUGGGGAGUACGCCGGCAACGGUGAAACUCAAAGGAAUUGACGGGGGCCCGCACAAGCGGAGGAACAUGUGGUUUAAUUCGAUGAUACGCGAGGAACCUUACCCGGGCUUAAAUUGCAGAUGAAUUACGGUGAAAGCCGUAAGCCGCAAGGCAUCUGUGAAGGUGCUGCAUGGUUGUCGUCAGCUCGUGCCGUGAGGUGUCGGCUUAAGUGCCAUAACGAGCGCAACCCUUGUUGUCAGUUACUAACAGGUUCCGCUGAGGACUCUGACAAGACUGCCAUCGUAAGAUGUGAGGAAGGUGGGGAUGACGUCAAAUCAGCACGGCCCUUACGUCCGGGGCUACACACGUGUUACAAUGGGGGGUACAGAGGGCCGCUACCACGCGAGUGGAUGCCAAUCCCAAAAACCUCUCUCAGUUCGGACUGGAGUCUGCAACCCGACUCCACGAAGCUGGAUUCGCUAGUAAUCGCGCAUCAGCCAUGGCGCGGUGAAUACGUUCCCGGGCCUUGUACACACCGCCCGUCAAGCCAUGAAAGCCGGGGGUACCUGAAGUACGUAACCGCAAGGAGCGUCCUAGGGUAAAACUGGUAAUUGGGGCUAAGUCGUAACAAGGUAGCCGUACCGGAAGGUGCGGCUG